UCACAGUCAACUGUUGGCACGG
rnacentral:miRNA from 1 species